rnacentral:rRNA from 1 species
GAUGAACGCUGGCGGCGUGCCUAAUACAUGCCAGUCGAGCGAACGGACGAGAAGCUUGCUUUUCUGAUGUUAGCGGCGGACGGGUGAGUAACACGUGGAUAACCUACCUAUAAGACUGGGAUAACUUCGGGAAACCGGAGCUAAUACCGGAUAAUAUUUUGAACCGCAUGGUUCAAAAGUGAAAGACGGUCUUGCUGUCACUUAUAGAUGGAUCCGCACUGCAUUAGCUAGUUGGUAAGGUAACGGCUUACCAAGGCAACGAUGCAUAGCCGACCUGAGAGGGUGAUCGGCCACACUGGAACUGAGACACGGUCCAGACUCCUACGGGAGGCAGCAGUAGGGAAUCUUCCGCAAUGGGCGAAAGCCUGACGGAGCAACGCCGCGUGAGUGAUGAAGGUCUUCGGAUCGUAAAACUCUGUUAUUAGGGAAGAACAUAUGUGUAAGUAACUGUGCACAUCUUGACGGUACCUAAUCAGAAAGCCACGGCUAACUACGUG